rnacentral:rRNA from 1 species
GACGAACGCUGGCGGCGUGCUUAACACAUGCAAGUCGAACGGAAAGGCCCUGCUUUUGUGGGGUGCUCGAGUGGCGAACGGGUGAGUAACACGUGAGUAACCUGCCCUUGACUUUGGGAUAACUUCAGGAAACUGGGGCUAAUACCGGAUAGGAGCUCCUGCUGCAUGGUGGGGGUGGGAUAGUUUAGGCGGUUGGGGAUGGACUAGCGGCUUAUCAGCUUGUUGGUGGGGUAGUGGCUUACCAAGGCUUUGACGGGUAGCCGGCCUGAGAGGGUGACCGGCCACAUUGGGACUGAGAUACGGCCCAGACUCCUACGGGAGGCAGCGGUGGGGAAUAUUGCACAAUGGGCGGAAGCCUGAUGCAGCAACGCCGCGUGCGGGAUGACGGCCUGCGGGUUGUAAACCGCUUUCGCCUGUGACGAAGCGUGAGUGACGGUAAUGGGUAAAGAAGCACCGGCUAACUACGUG